CCCUUAGAUGUUCUGGGCUGCACGCGCGCUACACUGAUGCGUUCAACGAGUAACUAACCUUGUCCGAUAGGAUUGGGUAACCUUUUGAAAACGCAUCGUGAUGGGGAUAGAUUAUUGCAAUUAUUAAUCUUCAACGAGGAAUGCCUAGUAGGCGCAAGUCAUCAGCUUGCGUCGAUUACGUCCCUGCCCUUUGUACACACCGCCCGUCGCUCCUACCGAUUGGGUGUGCUGGUGAAAUGUUCGGAUCGGCCGUUUGUCGCGGUUUCCGCGUCAUGUGGCUGAGAAGUUCAUUAAACCCUCCCACCUAGAGGAAGGAGAAGUCGUAACA
rnacentral:rRNA from 1 species